rnacentral:rRNA from 1 species
AUACGGAGGAUCCGAGCGUUAUCCGGAUUUAUUGGGUUUAAAGGGUGCGCAGGCGGGAGAUUAAGUCGGCGGUGAAAUUUUUCAGCGCCACUGUAAAAGUGCCUUCGAAAACGGUUUCCUUGAGUGUAGGUGAAGGAGGGGGAAUUUGUGGUGUUGCGGUGAAAUGCAUAGAUAUACCGAGGAACUCCGAUUGCGCAGGCAGCUUACUAAACUACUACUGACGCUCAGGCACGAAGGCGUGGGGAUCAAACAGGAUUAGAUACCCUGGUAGUCCACGCAGUAAACGAUGAUUACUAGCUGUUUGCGAUACAAUGUAAGCGGCUGAGCGAAAGCGUUAAGUAAUCCACCUGGGGAGUACGUUCGCAAGAAUGAAACUCAAAUGAAUUGACGGGG